GACGAACGCUGGCGGCGUGCCUAAUACAUGCAAGUCGAACGCAGCGGGGACGGGUGAGUAACACGUGGGUAACCUCCCAUCAGAGGGGAUAACACUUGGAAACAGGUGCUAAACCGGUACUGAUGGAUGGACUCGCCGUGCAUUAGCUAGUUGGUGAGGUAACGGCUCACCACGGCCACGAUGCAUAGACCACCUGAGAGGGUGAUCGGCCGCAGUGGGACUGAGACCCGGCCCAGACUCCUACGAGAGUCACCAGUCGGCAGUCUUCGGCAAUGGACGAAAGUCUGACCGAGCAACGCCGCGUGAGUGAAGAAGGUUUUCGGAUCGUACACCUCUGUUGUUAGAGAAGCGGUAUCUAGCCAGAAAGCCACAGCUAACUACGUGCCAGCAGCCGCGGUAAUAC
rnacentral:rRNA from 1 species